CUGUAUUAAACGUAGCACUUCCUCGUCCUCUGGAGCGCUCGGGUCCUGAGAACGGCUGUAAAGUAUGCGAGUGAAGAUUCUCCCACAUUGCAGAGGUUGCGGAGAGGUCGUGACCUCUGAGGGGAAAGGGGUCAAGAGCGGGCACUCCUCUCCACCUACCGGGCGCAAAACUUUUAAUCAAGCGCCCGUCAAUCACGCUGGAAUUUCACUGCAAGCUUGCACAGAUGGGAUUCGGUUCCCUUUCUGGUGCUCUUGUGUGUGUGUGUGUGUGUGUGUGUGUUUCGCAGUGAGUAAUACACUGUGUUCAGGUCACUGCUGGUGGAAACCGUCGUUCCAAAUGAUGCUUAUCCGCCUGCGUGUUAAAAGUCUGCUGCGUUACGGCAUUGCACGGUAUUGCAUCAUGGAAUCAGGAUGCAUUUGGGGCAGGAUGUGUCUUUCUCAAACGCUUCAAAUAAGAAUAAAAAAACCCCCGGCUGAAACGUUCGUACGUCGAGGUUCGGAUUCGGAGCGUUAUUAUUUGCCGUCGUUAUUAUUCGAAUUCUCCUCUUGGAUGAAUUUGGCGACGACGAGAUGUUUUUCACCUCGUUAAAAAGUGACGCUUUUUAUCCAUUUAUAGUUACGUUUAAUGUUGCGGAACAGCCCUGAAACGAGUUCUGGCGUUAAUAAUAAUAAUAAUAAUAAUAAUAAUAAUAAAAAACAACAACAGCUAGUCACGUUACCAAGAAACCGCAACGUGUAAGACUUUCCUGUAAAGUCAAAGCUUUACGCGCUGACACUGGAGACUCCUUCCGUAAGUGCUGCAUAAACACCUCCUCUCAGAACACUUCACACUACCGGCGAUUGCACGCGUUUUUUUUUUUAUCAGUUCAUGUGAACGAGCUGUUGCUAUAGAAAUGAUAACGUGUUUGGAUGAGCGUGUUGAUAUAAACCUGUCAGAGCUGCUGCUCUAGGGAAUUAAUCAACACCUCCUGACCAAUCAGAUUCCCAGAUCCCAGGGCUGGCGCGUUGUAUGGAAUGGUCACGUGUUCGAUACGAGUCCUGAAAAUAGGAUCCUUGUUGUUUCUUAUCGACAUUCUUUCCAUUCUUUCCGUUCCUUUUGCUCAUCCCUCUCAUCUCGUCGCUCCAGGCCGUCCGCGUUUGAAGUGGUCAGCGUCAGCGGUCAGUCCUCUUUCAGCUCGUCUCUUGUGGAGGGCCGGGCGGAGGAGUGUGUGCUGGAGUGGCACUCGGCUCGUCCGCUCGGCUCGUCCCCUCCGCCGCCUCUUUGAUGCCUUUAUUCGGCGCUGAUGCUCAUUCAGCCGUUAGUCGAGUGGGUGGUGAUUGUUAAGAGGCUCUCAGAGAGGCGAUGCCAGUCCUCCUGCCCACUCCCCGCCUCCCUGCCUCGCCCCCCUCCCCGGGGGGGUGGCCUCUUACUCCGCGCAUCCUUUCAAGUGCGCUUCGAGGCGGGAGGAGGAAGAGCUGGAGCACGCACUGCCUUUCUCUUUUGUUUUAGUUGAUGUUGUUGUUGGUGUCAGUGUCACUUGUAGAGGGUGAAAAGAGUGUGUAGGUUGAUUCGCAUUCAUUCAUUCACUCACUCACACACACACACACACACACACACACACACACACCAGCCUCCCAUUCAUUAAAGUUCAUUCGCAUUCCACUGGAGGCAUUGAAGUUUUCUCAUUCAUGAAGCUUCAGCAUCCUGUAGAGCUCAGCAGGACAUGUAUCCUUGUAUGUAAAUAAGCACACACACACACACACACACACACACACACACACACACACACACACACAUACAGAUCUAAUAUAAUACACAAAGACACACCCACACCCUAGGGUUUGUUUCAAUCUCUGCAUGGGAGACAGCCACCUUACUGCAACAAAAGACGUCACUGACAUCGACUUUCCUACAGGAAAUGGAUUAUAUAAGGAGCGUCACGGUCAUUUUGUCCGAGCGGAUCUUUUGAUCUGGGGCGUGCGAGUGUGCGAAGGACGUAUAUAGUGAGCACUCGUCCUGAUCUCACCAGGUUUUUUCACCGAGAGUAAAAUAAACUUUAUUUACUUUUGCGGUCGUCUCAAAUACAAUAGAAUGCAACACAGUGCAAUAGUAUACAAGCGUAGAUAGGAGUGUGUGUGUGUGUGUGUGUGUGUGUGAGAGAGAGAGAUCAAAGUAAGGUAGCUUCAGUAAGGUACACAGACAUUAUUAGGCAGAUUGGCUCUUUUAUAGUGUAAAUGGUUUCUCGGGCAGCUGGUCUGUGACGUCCGUGUUGAACUCGUCCGCUCCCGUUUCCUCUCAGCCGCGGCGUAACGGACGCUUUAUCGUCGCCUUGCGCGUUUGUCGUCUUUGGGUUUUUCCUCUCCGGCCCUACAGACAUCCUGCUGCGUUUCCCAGAGUAUCAUGACAGCUCUUUAGCAUUUCCUUUACUGCGAGGAGACGGAAAGAGACAGAAACGAGGUGGUCGAGAUGCGCAGCCGGGGGUCGGAGGGUUGUGAGUUUAACGCUCCGGCCACACGCAUGCACGUAUUUCUGAAAACUCUGUGUUUUCACACACACGCACAAAACCUCUCUUGGUAUUCUGUCGUAAACUGUAAACACGUUAUCAAGUGAGAACACAUUUUUGAAAACAUUGUUUGACCCAAAGUGUUGACAAAAUGCAGCGAAAAAACCCCACGUUCUCAAAAAUAUCUGUCUACAUGUGGGCGGGGCCUGCGUCAGGUAUUACUAUGUAUCCUCCUUAGUUUUUUUUCUUCUAUGGAUUUGUACCUACAAUGUUAAUAUACUAUAGCUAGUUAGUUUUAUUAAUAUAUUAUAUUAUAUACCUAGUUUUUUAUAUUAUAGGGUUUUUUAAAAAAAAUAAUAAACAUAUCAAUCAAAAGUGAGCUGUAAUAUCACUCGAGUCGCCUCUAAUGCACAGUUCCCGCCUUCAAACUUCUUUAGGCCACACCUCCUGCCUGAGACUGUGUGUGUAUGUGUAUGUGUGUGUGUGUGUGUGUGUGUGUGUUGGGCAGAACUAAUUCCCUGGGUAAUUAAUCACCUGUGCCUGUCAGUCCCGGUAAAGGAGGCGUGGCUUGUCCUAGUUUUGAGCAGUUCGUCUGAGAUUUACAGGCUUUUCACGUGUGGUUUUGACCACCGUGUGAAUUUCGACACUCGAACCCAAAAGAAAUCUUUCAGCCCUGGAAACCGGGGAAGAAAAACCCCUCGGGCAGACGUCAGUACAAUGUUCUGUGUCAGGUUAAACGGACAUAACGGUCAAAAUAAAGUAAACCGCAGUGGUGCCGUAGUUCUACUGCAGUAACGCCGCUUCCUCUAAUCCGUAAUUCAGCCCUUAUUGCUUUAGACACCGGGAUCCAUUUCCUCGUUGAGACGUUUAGAAACGUCUGUCAGUCCUCAUCGGGUUCCUGGUUGUGCCCCGAGGACUUUGGCGGCGUGUUUGGCGUUAAGGUGGGGAUUGCGUAAGCCGCGGCGGCUCCAAAAAACGCCGCCGAAGUCACAGAAAGAAUCGUUUCAGUCGCUGCUAAUCGGGGCUGAGUUGUGAGCUAAAGUGCGUGUGUGUGUGAGGAGGUGAGAGAGUGAGACCACUGUGUGGAUUCGGGUUCUUGCGGUUUGAAGUUUCACUCGCUGCUCGGAAAGCUUUUACGACGGUCUUUAACGAUGUAAGACAAACCGCACGUUCCACAAAUCGUAGACCAAAUCGUGUAACUCGGAGGAAAGUCCUCGCGUAUACACCCAGACACCACAGCACUCUCGUUACACAGCGUUCCUCAGAGGUGCUUUCACUGCUUAAACUCUUCUUUAAGAGCUUCCUGUCUGUUGCGCGGCUCCGUUGUGCCCGAGAAACCAACCCAAGCGUGGUACCUUCUUAGAUUUCUGAAGGAUUUAACAUGCAGGAACGAAAGACAACAAAAAAGGGUUCCGGGAGAACUUUUUCUGUGAUACUCGCCCUCACACAGUUCUGUGCUUGAGCUCGUCUCCUGCUUGCUCUCUCAUUAGCAUCGUACUCCGUUUGCACUGGUAUGGUACCAGUGCUGGUUCUGAGUUCAGCACCAAAUCUCGCCAGACUCCGGCGCUCUCGGUUUCCGUAAACAUCGGCGUUCACCGUACAAGUCCCUGUGAGCGAGCCGUCACUAUAGAGACGAUGACGUAUUCAAACAAGCGCGCUAGAAUGAAAUGGAAAGAUCUGUCAUUCCCACAUCUGAUCACGUUGAAGUUCGGCUCCUGACGUGAUGAAAAGCGGGUCGGUUCUGAACCCGAGAGCCUGGAGUUAAACCUCGACUGCUCUGCUCUGUUCUUGGAGAGGAUUUGUUUGCAAUAAAAGUUUCUGCCAAAUGAAUAAACACGAAGAUAAAACGCCAGACUGUGAGAACGAACUGUUGUUCGUUCUUUUAAGGAAUUCCAGCACGGUUCUGAGUGACGGCAGCACCCGGGUCGAUUCUGGGCCUCGUGAUUUAUGACAUUUCAUUAAACAUUUGCAUGCACGUCGGCCAAAUCCAACACCUUCCUUCCCUCAUCUCGGCCACGUUCUCUCUGCCAGAGAAAGAUGUGUGAAAAUGAUCAAACCGAACAGGAAACCUGUCCACCGGAGGGAAUAUAAGGGAGUUAGAACCUGGUACUGGGAAUCGUUUGAUCUUUUCUGAUGGAGGUCGUUGAUGUCUUUUAAAUCUUUAAGCUGACAUUUUAUCCACUCGCAAUUCCUGCAGGGGAAAUGAUUCCCCGUCUCAUCUCCCCGUCACCUUUCUCCUCCGUCCGAGUCCGAACGCAUCACGUCUGCGUCUGCGUCUCCACGUCUCGGCUCGAGGACUCGGAAACCGGAGCCGCGCGUCAGCUCUGGACGCCCUGAGUCCUGCGGUGCAGCUGGGUCUGCUCGUGCCAGACGCUGCCGGAUCUGCAGCACACACUCGUUUAUUAGUCUGAUCUGAAAGGGAAAUAAAAGCCCGGGCACGUUUCCAGUUUUUAACGUCUGCACGCACAAACAUCUCACGAAAUGUUGGAUAUGUUUUUUUUUGUUUUUUUGUUUUUUUAUCAAACAUGCAGGAUGAUGAUUAAAUACGGAUCGAUAUUAAACAGGUGUUUACGUUUAAUCUGCGUUCUCAUGGAUGGGGUGAGUGUUUUAUUAAAUUCAGGUGAACAUGGAGGGUAAACCAUAAUAUAAAUAUUAAAAGGGAUGUAGAAAUUCGGACAUUUUAAUAGAUCGCGAGUCUGUUUUUGUUUGUUUAUUCAGUUAUAGUGCUUGUUGCUGAAAUGUAAAACUUAAAAAAAAAAAUAUAUAUAUAUAUAUAUAUAAAUAAAUGUUGAAUUGUUAAACUAAAAACUGUAAUGAAUUUGUAUUUAUUAUCGGUGUUGGAGAUGUGAUGGUGACGGUGAUGGUGAUGAAACGCUGGAUCGGUUCCGGAUCGGAUUUUCUGCUUUAACUCUUUCACUAGUAGCUGAUACUCGGAGCGCUGAUUUUUGGAAACGUGGAGGGAAUGUAAAGCCGUAAAGAGAUUAGUGGAUAGUGAAUAGUCAUUUUUAGUUAUACUGAAGUCAGGGUGUGGUCUGAGACUGUGUGUGUGUGUGUGUGCGUGUGCGUGUGUAAGAGAGAGAGAGAUAAAGUUGCACAGUAAUCCUGUUUAAUGAAACUCAUUUCUCUGUAAUCCACUGACAACUCAAAUGAUACGCACACACACACACACACACACACACACCGCACCACCCUGUGUGUGUGUGUGUGUGUACAGUAUCUGCAUAGAACUUGUAUGAGAGGUUCCCAUAACCGUGUGUGUUUUUAACAUCUCGGUAUAAACACUGAACCUUUCCUUUCUUCCCCUCACACGUUGACGGCCGACCCGUCUGUUUCUUCCUGACCCACGACUAAAACCGGCUCCGCUUUUGGCAGCAUGAGUCUUGCUUCCCACCUGCGGCUCACCUCACACGCUCGAGUCGUAUCCUUCCAUCUUGUUUUCCGUCCUCUGAGCCUUAUUUUGUUGAAAUGUGCAUAUUCAGGAACGUGGAGGCUUCUAGUGUUUCACUGCCUCGGUGUGCGACUUCCACUGGAACGGAGUUUCACCUUUUAUAGCCGUUCGCUGGUCCUAAAUCACUCACUGUGUGUGUGUGUGUGUGUGUGUGUGUGUGUGUGAGAGAGAGAGAGAGAGAGAGAGAGAACUUAUGUUCCUGAUCUUGAUUUGAUUGAUUGAGCGCUGCAUUAACCGCUACAGAAAUUAAUUGAGCUUCUCUUCAACGUCUUGCGUCCCUCCAUUACCCCCCACCCCUCCUCCCCCCUCCCCCAGGAGGCAGCUUGCGGUCGCUUUUUCAUGAUUGGUCGAGCGACUGAAGUGUUUUGGUUGAAAUAUGGCCAGGCCGUCACUCCCUCUACCUGCCGCUUAUCUCUCUGCAGAAAUUCACGACGUGGAUCUCUGGCCCUCGCCCAGAUCAGAUUUGCAUAUCACCCUGUGUUCAGAGAGCCAGGAGCCUCGAUUCGAUCGAGAUAAAGUCGUUAAAGGUGGAAGUGGCGAGGACUGGCGUGUAAAGAUCAGAGCGGAUCGCACGCAGCUUGCAGACCAAACCCUCAGCAGCUUCUCACACGCAACAAGGGACAAACACCGUUUUUUGUUUACUUUCUCAUCAGGAAAUGCUUUUUCAGUUUUUAUCUCGUGAUAAGUGCGUGAUACGAAACAUCAUGGGUAGUCUUUCAAACCCAGAGACGUCGUAAAUCCGCCAGGUUGUACAGAUUUACACUGAGAAAAUGGCCUGUUUUUUAAAAAUUUCAUCAGACCGAAUAGUUUUCAUUUUAUAACGAAUUUAAAACCCGUUUGGGUGAAAUGAGAGAUUCUUAUCUGGCAACCCUAAAGGACGAGUUUCCACUGAUAUCAUCUUACAAAAGAACACUUCACGACCCGAUACAAGUUACGAUAUUAACUUGCUAGCUAGCUAUCUAGAGGUGAUGUAGCGUAUGUACAGUUACUGAAUCGAUAGAUUCUAAGCUAGCUAGCUAUCUAGAGGUGAUGUAGCAUAUGUAUAGUUACUGAAUUGAUAGAUGAACCACUUUAUUCAAUACCAUAUUUUACCAAACGCUUUAUUUUAUACAGUAGAAUAGAUUUUAGCUAACUACCAAGUUGACUAGCUAGCUUAUUCAUUGGCAAGCUAACACAAGCUGAUGAUUUCAGUCUGAUCCUGUCUAAAAUAAUGGGGUGUAAUGUUUUGGACUGAUGCGUCAAAGUAAAAGGGAAACGUAGAAAUGAAUCGCAACAGCUUGUGUGUAAAAAUAAAUAAAUAAAUAAUCUGAUUUUUAAACUGUAAACAGGCUAGCAAGGUGAUUUACCAUUCUGUACAUCAUCAUCGUUCUUGAAUUAACGUUACUCCUACCCCAGAUUCUGAACAAAGUCGGUCACGUAUCAAUCACGUAUCGACGCAGACUCGACGUCUGAGGUUAAGAGACCUACUCUGAAUGUUACAACAAACAGAAUGAAGGGAUCGACUGUAUUUUGGGAGCACAAACCUUGCCAAAAUCUCCCUAGCAAUCUUGCGCAUGUGAAUUUUUGUGACUUAUAAUCAGUCACGGCCUCACGUCUGUCCCCGGAGCCUGUUGCUACUCGUUUUACGUUUCUGAAACGUGAAAGUCGUGUGCGUGUAAUCGUCUCGGAAAUGCCCUCGGGUUGUAUUGCGCACAGCUAGAUCUGACGUUCCAGCUUUCCCUUCAUUCCGAAGCUGCUUUAUCUCCAGCGUUUUAUUGGACUGACUGUAUAUCUAUGGCCGUUUAUGAGCCUCUCCGUAUUUGGACGCCUGAACAGGGCCAACAAUAACACGGCAUAUUAAUUGCUAACUCUCUGGCUUGCUGGCUUUGUGUGCGCUUGGCAUCGGGUGGGAAGGCCAUUAAUCUCACCCGGCGAACAAGGGGACGCUCUCAAUGGAUGCUGUUCCGCCCAUUUUAUGCUUCAUUCUCAAAACCUGGAAAGCCACUAAAGAGUGUGAGAAAGAAAGAGGUUCCUCUUAACUUGAUCUUUCCGAAGCGUGACCGGAGACCCUGAUAGAGAGAUCUUGGCAUCGGUGGACGAGGGAAGGAGUGCAUUUUACCCACUGCUGAAACCAAAUGGGGGUUUAAACGUAUUUGUGCUUGUUCUUGUACAGUUUGUGCGCUGUUUAAUCGCUUGUCACUUGAGUUUGCACCAAAGUGUUACGAAGUCUAAUGAUAGAGUGGGGUUUGUCAACAUUAAGUUGUAAGCUUAAACGCAAAGUACAGCUGGAAGACACGUCAGGCGUGGGUAUAAUGGAAUUUUGGCAUUAAAUAUGUGUUGGGGUGUACAGGGGUGCACAUUUUUGGCGUGUUGAAAAGCCAGAACCUCGAGUGUCGAUGUGGGGUUCUUCCUGGUUCUCUGGUUUCCUCCCACCUCCCAAAAACAUUGGCAGUGGUUUGGAAAAUCUCUAAAUUUCCCCUGGGUAUAAAUCCGUGUAUAGAGUGGUUACUGGAGGCCAUUUACUUUUUCACUAUGUCGAAGUUGUUAUUCUUUGAGCCCAACAGGAAAAUGGCGCCUUCGUUUUAAACGUCCUUCUUCUCACGUGUCUUUGCCCAGAGGGACUGACAGCUUUGGGUCAGGGGUCAGCCACGAGGUCACAGUUUAGGAUGUCUGCCGUGUCAGUCAAGCACGAUUGGAUGGCGUGUCUGCCAAUCAAACCCCACUGGAACGAGCUCUGACAGGUUCUCAGGAUGGAGAUUUUUAUUAAGGUAGUCUGGGGCUGGAGGAUAUUAUCGGUCUGAUCUUGACGGACGUAAAUCUGCAGGUCUGUCUUUGUUGUUUAUCUUUUACCUGUAAUGUGUGAGAAGGGUAAAGGCAAGAGCACACCACCAUGACGUUCUUCAAUCUGUGUGUGAUUGCCGAGAAAUUUUUACACUGGUUUGUUCAGUCCUUUGGGCGUGUCUGCUCCUCUGCUAAACAUUCUACAGCUAAAUCUUUUUGCUUUUCUUUUUUGGUGUGUAGGGGAAAACAUGACCUUGCCUCCAAGCCCAAGUGUGUGCAGGACAUGUGUGCACGAUGUCAUAUAAGGGUACGACUUGCUCGUGCCCCAGAGCUCACCCCACGGCUCAGAGGAUUAAUGUCAGUCUGUGCAGACAGCAGAGGAAAGAGAUUGAUUCUAUUACAGGAGCUUUCUACAGCUCGGGAACGCAGCAGGGGACUGCAGACCAAGGUAGAGAGGAAGUGACCAAAUCUUGCCCUCGGGUUGAACAUGGAGACUUGAUGCCAAGUUUGCUCAAAUAACAUCACAGACCUGCUGAAAAGGCAACGAAGCAAUUGGGAAUAUGAAAAUAGAAUAUUGUGUGUGCAUGAUUAUGGGUGUAGUGAUGCACAGAAGCACCGAUGUAUUCAUUGUAGUGUUGGGAUUUUUAAAAAAAAAUUGGGUUAGUCAGAAAAUCUGACUAGGGUUCCUCAAGGGUUCUUGGGAUGGUUUCUAAAGCUUUCUAAAGGUGUUUUGGAUCAUUAUGUGAAAAGACAAGCCAUCUGUUGUAGAGUAGGGUUCUACACCGAAUCUUCAAGGGUUCCUGCUGAUGCUACAAACCAAAUUACCAUUUAGGGCUUUCUAAAGGUGCUUUGUAACCUUUUAUGAAAGAAAAACCAUCUGUUAUAGGGUUCUAUGUAGAAUGCUUACGUGUUCCCACCAGGGGUACAAACUGUUGGACUCCUUAUGGCUUUCUCAAGAUGUUUUGGAACCUUUAAUGAAAGAGAAAUCAUCUGUUUUAGGGUUCUUUUCAAGGGUACAAACCAAAGGCCCGCUUACGGUUUCUAAAGGCACUUUGGAACCUUCCUUAAUAAAGACACCUUCUGUUGUAGGGUUCUACAUAGGAUUUUUUUAAUGGUGCCCACUGGGGGUUCAAACUGAAGGACCACUCGGGGCUUUCUAAAGGUGUUUUGGGUCAUUUUAUGAAAGAGAAGUCAUCUUUGUAGGGUUCGACAUAGAAUCGUUAAAGGGUCCGACUAGGGGUACAAACCGAAGAACCCUUAAUGGCCUUCUAAAGGUUCUUUAGAACCCUUUAUGAAAGAUAGAGUUGAAGGGUUCUCGUCAGGGAUGCAAAAUGAAGGACCGUUUAAGGCUUUUUAAAGAUGUUGUGGAAUCUUUUAUCAAAGAGAAAUCAUCUCUUCUAGGUUCUACAUAAUAUCUCUAAGGUAGUGCAAAACGAAGAACCAUAUAGGGUGCUAAAUGUGUGUAAAAAAUUAUUAUUAUUAUUAUUAUUAUUAUUAUUAUUAAAGGUUUUCCUCAAAAUUCCAGUGCAUCAUUUAACUGUUCUCAGCUUCCUAAUGAUGUACUAUUACCUGGGAACCAUCUCUGAUAUGGGUUUGCAUACGGUUAUUUAAGAAACCUUCAAUUAAUUUUACAAGUGGAGUGUAUGUUUAACGUGGUUACUAACCUGUCCAUCCAAUCCAUGUGUCUGAAGAUAAAUUCGGAGCUUUUAAAACAAGUCAACAGCACGAAACAUACUCCGAGACGUGGAAGAUAGUGAGACGUGGGAUGUCCCUCUUGGAGAAUCCCACAUAGAACCCUACAAAAAAUGUGUCAGAAAGGAUUUCACGGAUGCUACAAACCCUGAACUACCCCAAAACCUUGAAGAACCCUUUGUUUACCCUCAGAGUGUAGCACCUUCAAGAUGAGGCCAAAUUAAGCCAUGAAGUUCUGGAUGUCUGGUGGAGGAUUUGGAUGAUGAAAGCCUUGGACGGGGGAGGCAGUGGACUUGCAUGCCAAUGCUUAACUUAAAAAAAAAAAAAAAAAAAAACAGGAGGGGGAAAAAAGCUGUGGAAUUAUGGGACCACUCUAAUCUGUGCAGAUGUUUAGGAAGACGAAUGGAGCUCCGAUCUUGCCUAUGCCCUGCAAAGAACGAGGCCAAUGAACUCUUAAGUGCAUUUGGGAGUACACAUAGGAAGAGAAAUAUGGCUUGGCUGGUGUCCUAAUAUUCCACAGGGUUCUCACUAAAUUCCCAGUGUAGCGCAGAUAAAGCCCAGCGGAGUCAGGGGCUCUGGGUUACGUCUCAAUGUUUAAUCUAAGUCUCAUAUGGGAUUGAUUUUAUACGGGGUUUGGAAGCUUUGAAUUAUAGACGUCACAGUAAAUAAAAACCUCUUCACUUUUCUACGGUGUAUUUUUAAAUAAAAAAAUACAUUUUUUUGCCAAAGUUUUUUCUUUGUUUUGAAAAAUGUACGGGUAAAAUUUACCUUCACAGACAUAUUCGAAAUGAUGGAUUACAGUUUUGAAGAAAAAAAAAAAAAAAAAACCCUCUGAAUCCUAAAUACAAAUGUUCAAAUCUGCUAGCGUCCACGACGUGAAAUGAAUUGAAGAGAUGUGGAGUAGAGUCGAGUCAAAAUGGAUGAUGUAAUCUUCCACUUAGCAAGUUCAAAACAAAGAAAAAGCACUGUACAAUUUACGAAAUAAACCACAGAGAAAAGCUCAUUUUCUUUACAAAGGUCGAGAUAUAAUGCAUGAAGCAAAAGCCUAAAAUCUAGCCGGUUGCCUUUUUCCAAAGUCGUACUCUCAGUGGGGGUUUUCUGAAGGAUUUGGAAGAAAGUUGAAUGUUGAAACGUGAAUCUUUCUGUGAAACGGCACUGAAUCGUUUCGGUUCUCUCUGCUCGUUGUGCUCCGGGGGAAUGGGAGUCGGGCGUAUUGAGUGUUUUCUGGUUGGACGCAUGGCUCUGGGAAAACAAGAUGAUUUCCAACAAUUGCUAAAUGCCUCUGGGAUCUGUGUGACCCACUGUGUUCGUGUGUUUCUGAUUGAUGAACUCGCUCGAAGUGAAUUUUAUAUUGGACAGGGAUGGCAGUUUGUCCCAGUUUGCCUUGUGACCUCACAAUGGAGGCCAAUGUUGUUGUUAUUUUUUUUCUUUUUACAUCAUUACUCGGUCGUGGAAAUCGAUAGAACCUUUGGGAAAACCUUUCUAUUCUCUCUAACCGCGUCCUCUGCACAGAAACGCCGUCCUGGGAGCUUUACGACGCCACGUAUGUGUCCGAGAUCGAUUUGUCCACGGCUUCCAUGUGUCUCCGUUUCUGCUCGGAGUCUGACAGUAGUGUUUCGGAGAGCUCUGGGUAACUUCUUGUCAUCUGAGGCUUUAGUUCGGGUGAUGGAGCUUCAUUAUCUGUCUCAGACGGGCUUGUUAAGUGAGUGACACUGAAGGAACUUGCGUCUGUGUGCCUCGGACGUCUAAUCACGCAGUUGAUAAGCGUGGUAACGAUAACAGCAGAGAUAACUCUGAUGGACUUCUCUAAGUGGCUAAUAAGAGAGGCUUACGGUGUCAGGGAUGGAAAGAAGACCACCAAAGGUGUGGUGUCCGUUCAGCUUCUUGAACUAUAAAAAAAACAAAUCCUAAUCUUAAGAACAUUUUUUUUUAAUCCUUGGCUGAGAUAGAAAAAGGUCAUGGACUGAUGCAGAGAUGAUGAGGUAGAGUCUGAUUUUUGGAUGGAACAGCAAGUGUAAGAUCUGUGAUUAUCCGCUGCUUUUCUGGUGAUGUCAUCUUUAUGGAAGAUUUAAGAAAAAGCUAAAUGGAUAUAUAUUAGGAUCAAGAGUCGUGUUCGAGUGGCUGUUGUUGUUGUUGCUUCUGGGAUUUGAACUCACAACCUUAACCACUGUGGCGUAAUACUCGACCCAGUACUGUGAAGCAGGGAUGCACACCAGAGCAAACACUCUACAUUCCAAAGUUCUUUCACACCAAACUUCAGGAUGUGAAACGUGGAUUUUUCCAGACCGGACAGCUAUGCUAAGCUAACACGCUAAGCCUGCACCCUGUUGACUUGCUGUUGAUCAUCAUUAAAAUUGGCCCACUUAAGAGAAUCACUUAAGAGUGCUCAGUCGCUCACGAUCGAUCUCUGGAUUGUGUUCAUGGAGCCAAACGAGGCCAGCUGGAUGUUUUUUAUUGAUUCAGCGGUGUCAAGGGCCGAGAGCCACCUCACUUGUCCCUGCUGAACAGUCAGUCUUGUGGAUGUUCUGGUUCAUAGCCUGAACGUAUCAAAGCACAGUUAAAAAAAAAAAGCAAAACCCAACAACAAAGGUAAUUCACCCAGCAGCAGUUUGCAACACAAACGAGAAUGAAAAACGGUUCUUUUCCCGUCGUGUGGAUCACCUGCUCACCGAACACCGAGCGGUGACGAAUUGCACCAAUCUGAGGCCCCGUUUCGAGUUUAAACGCUCUCAGAUCUCCUAAGAUAACAUAACAAAUAGCAGAUUGAACCCACUAAUUGUGGCAUGUUUUUGCGGUGAAAAUGUAACAUUCUAUACCUUAUCAUUUUUUCCCCCUUCUAUUUGAAUUCAUCUCGCUAUUCAGAAGUGAGAUUCAACCUGAGGCUUAAAAGCGCCAACGCAUGACAUCAUCUAACACACGUGCGCAAACACGCGGCUUGUGGGUCGAGUGUUAAUGGCGUCCUGAGAAAAGACUGAUUACAGACUGAGUGCACGUGCUAUCAUUAUGUAUAGUGACUUGAAGUUAACGUUUCAGCCUCCUGUAGCCGGGUCUUUUCGUUUUACUGGGUACAAGGCCAUUGUACAUCUGAAAACUACUACAAGGGCAAAGGAUGCAGGAUGGAGAAACACUUCUAAUCGCGGUUACUAUGAGUCCUAGAUGCAGAACCAAAACUCCAGGGGGUGGAGCUGGACCAGAUCCAACUCCUCCUCCGAACCCUAACUUAGGAGAUGCUGUACAACACGGAACAAGAAACCCUUUGACUUGUCCACACACACCGGAUGUUUGGUCCAGCUUUACCAAGGUAGGAGGAGCUGAUCAGGUCCGACUCCACCCCCUUAACUUUUGGUCCUACAGCGAGGGGUACUUUUGCUUUGCACCAAUUUUAUCUAGCUAAUGCAUGCUAGGCUUUUCUUUUCAGCAAUGUCAGCACCAUAACAAUGGCUCAAUAAUUCACGUAGCCUUUUUGCUGACACUUCGUUAAUUUGCUUGAAAUUUCCCACACACCGAGAAGGACACAGAUCCGGAGUCUGUCUGAUAGACCUGCUCCUCUUCAGCCUGUCCCCGCUAUUAGGGACACUCUGUCUGAGAGCAGAAGCCAGAGAUAGACAGGCUUUUGUUCACACGCGCAUGAUUGUCCUCGUUCUCACUCUGCCGCUUGUCUUUGCUGUGGUCACGAUGGAAGGAGAUUACAGACCACAAGCAGCGAGCAGCUAAGUCGGCUUGACCCGGGAUACCCCCACGCUUAUCAUGUCUGCAGUGUCCUCUUCUCUCCUCUUCUCUCCUCUUCUCUUCCUGUUUCAUUCAGUGGUCAGGGAUGCUUAAGGUAUCUACUGGGAGUGUUUGUUGGAUUCGGAUGGAAACUGAGCCCCAGGUGGGUGAUGGGCGUGUCUUGUUUUCUAGUCUAGAUUUCUCUCCACCUCUUGCUUGAGGGUGUCGUGGCACUCCAGUUUCGACCGUGAUGGGGGUGACCUUGACAAGACGUUGCUAAUGUGAGACGGAGGAAAGGGGCUGGGCGUUCCAGUGGGUCAGUUAAUAUUGGAGAGUUCAGAACACCUAUGCAACUGUUAAUCAUUCAAGAUUCAAAAGUUGACUGGCUCAUGUGCUGUUUUCACGGUGGACUGAGUGAUAACUCGUAAUGGCAUAUCCUCUUAGGAUAGUUGUGUCUACUUGAACAAAAAACGGUCUAACCUGCAACCAAGUGCUAACCUGGAACUUAUGACAUUUACAAACCGUCUUCGCUUCUUAUUGGGCAGCGGUAGCUCAGUGGUUAAGAUUGGAAGGUUGCGAGUUCAAACCCCAGCAAUUCCAAGCCUCCAGUUCUGGGCCCUUACCCCUCAACCGCUCUGUUGUAGAAACCAGAUAAAUGUAAGUCACUCUGGAUAAGGACGUCUGCCAUAAAUGUAAAUGUUUUUUUUUUUAUUUAUUUUUUUUUUACAGAACCCCAAACAGAGGUAAUUCUCACCAGACUGAUCCGUACUAGUUAACCCUUCAGGAACGCCCUAGUAGAUUAAGGGUUAACACCAGGCACGCUUUCCUUUCCCAUGGGAGUGUGGUGGUGUUGACGAGGGGCUCCGUUUGUUAGCAGCUAAUCGCCUUCCUCACGGAUGAGUGGCUCCUGAAAGUGACUCAGAAAAAUGAUCGGAUGGAUGGCCCUGUUGACACGAGCGUGUGAAACCCCCCCAAAAAAAAGAAGCCCAGAGUAAUCUCACUUCCUUCCUGUUCGGUCUGGGAAACCGGGUUGAUCAUUGGUCCUCGUUGGCACCUGGCUCUUCCCCGAUAGGCCAACGGUGCAUGUCAUCCUAUCAGCUCUGUCUAUUUAGAAGGAAAAAAAAAACGAAAGAAUGUCGUGGACAGAAAAGCGCCCGAAGCCUGCCGCCCACGGGCAUGAGAGGAAAAGCUGACGCUGGGAUUUUAGAGGAAAGAUCUCACUCGAACACACAAUGGCUACCAAACAGGAAGUGGCAGAACAAUCUUUCGCCCACUCCGGCCGUGUUGUGACCUCCAGGGCUGCAGCAGCGAUAACCCGGCAUUCCUGAAACCUCGCUGGGUAGGACGCUGGGAGCUUUCUCUUGCUCCCGGGUCACCGGAGGUCACCUUCCUGCUUCUUUUACGGCUGUAAAUCAGUCGCGCUCCUUGUAUUCGUUCAGUCUACAUCAUUUAACAAAUAUUAGUCAAUGAGCUGAGAUGACGUACAAUGUGCGAGACUCCCAGUUUUACACCGGAACACUUUAACACUGUACAAGCUUUCACAGUCUUCAAAACAUUUACAAUGCAACGACAGUUUGAAUAAUUAGAUGGGAUUGCAACAACUUAAUGACGAUUUCUCACACAGCUAAAGAGCUUAUGGUUUGAAAUAAUAUAUUGGCGAAUAAAUAACGGAAUGAAAACAGCACUCAGACUUUUGGACGCUACCGUACGUCCACCCCUGGGAUGUCACAGGAUGAAGUGAAGUGUUGUAGAAACCGGGGCGAAAAAAAGCUGACCUCCUGAAAGUUCACCUCCGUGUCCUCAAUAAAACUCCCUAACGCUACGCCCCACCCCUUCCUGUUCCAGUUUCCGACUCGGCUGUACCUCGUAUCUCCCACUUUCCUCUUGUCCUUGUCAUGUUUAUUUGCGGAGGGCAUUGUGUGCUUGUUAGCCGUGAUGUAUUGUCUUCAUCCUGCUAAACAAUGCUGCCGAUUGCUUCCUGGGAAUGUUUAAGGACACGGACACAGGCGUCCUCCGUCUUGGUGCGAACUCGCAUGGCCUCGGUGUCACGUAAUAACUCGCGCUGUACUUACCUCCGUGCUGACUAGUUCAUGAAUAACCGGAGAACCGAUACGUUUUGUUUUGUCCUCGCAGAAUCCGACAGCUCCAGAGGAAACGCGUGGGAUCUUGUACAGGAAAUGGACGCGAACAGGGGAGUAACGAAGACUUUGAUAACAGGAAAUGAUUCAUUCAAAAUGUCAAAACCGGUAUUAAAAGGAAUAAAAUAAUAAUUGAUGAGACACGGAAAUCAGGGAUUCCUGGCCAUGUGAAUCUAAUCAUAAGAGAGGAUCGAUGAUCCUUCACUUCAGUCUUGGAAUGAUCAAAGUCCCUGACUUUGAGACAUGGAUACGGGCGGGAUAUGGUCCUGGGGCGGCUGUGGAUCAGGUGGUAGAGCGGGUUGUCCAGUUAUCGUAGGGUUUGCGGUUCGAUUCCCGGCUCACGUGACUCCACAUACCGAAGUGUCCUUGGGCGAGACCCUGAACCCCAAGUUGCUCCCGAUGGCAAGUUAGCGCCCUGCAUGGCAGCUCUGCUCCCAUUGGUGUGUGAGUGUGUGUGUGAACGGCUGAAUGAGUGUAAAGCGCUUUGUAGAACCGCCAAGGUUAAAAAAAAAAGCGCUACAUAAAUGCAGACCAUUUACUGUAAGCUCACGUCACCUUAAGCGACACAAUGAAUAAUAAUUUGUGGCUUGUGAAAUAUUAAUAUGCGGUUUGAAUAUGUUCAUUUGUGUAACCACCAUGUCACCUCAGAUGCGUCUUCAUUUCCUUUUCAGAACGUUUCUGGUCUGAAUUCCGAACACGCGCGAUCGGAAGUGCGCGUCAUGUUUCCAGACGAUCAUAAACGAUGCUCCGUUGCAUGUCACACACUGUUAAACGAUGCUCGUUACACACUCGCGAGUGAGCAGGCGGCGUUUUCGGGGCAGUGUUUGUGUUCUCUUAUUCAGAAAGAACCUGUUUUUUCGCUCGGAAGGCAGACAAACCGUCACAACCUGGGUCUGGGUUUUAGGAAUCCGAAUAUGAGACGGGACUACAUGAAGAAAAAGUGGCCAAGGUGAACACGUCAUGCGUGCGCUGACAGGGGGUCAGAGGUCAUGAGGCAAAAGCAACAGCCACCUGGAGAUGCGGAUUAAUUUGGGAUUAUCGCUCGGGGGUCAGGGGCCGUCUGCCCUCGGGGGUGAGCGGGGUCAGCGUGAAUGGAUGGAGCAAUCUGCAGAAUCUCAAUGAGAGAAAGGGAAAAAGAUAGUGCGUGUGUGUGUGUGUGUGUGUGUGUGUGUGAGAGAGAGAGAGAGAGAGGUUGUUGAUUAAAAGUUAUUUGAAUGUUUUCUGCAAGGAGACAUGUAUUUAACGUUUAUGGAAGGAGUCUCCAGUGUCAGAGGUAAAGCUGAAACUUUACAUUUUCCGACAGCGGGACAGGAGAGUUUUACGCCCAGAGGUUUCUGAGUAACAUGGCAAGCUUCAGGGUUUAUAUUUUUGGACCAGCUGGUUGUUGAUUAUUUUCCUGUAUGCACACGCCCCAGAGUGUUUUAUUCUUUACUUUAUAUGGUUGUAGAAGAGAGAGGGAGUUUGGUGGAGGUUUUGGUUGGAUGGAGGCAGAACCCUCGCCGAUGAUGAGAAUCUCAUCAGAGCUGAUAAAAAAGAACACCAUUAGAG
ensembl:lncRNA